GAACGGGCACUUCGGUGCUAGUGGCAGACGGGUGAGUAACACGUGGGAACGUACCUUUCGGUUCGGAAUAAUUCAGGGAAACUUGGACUAAUACCGGAUACGCCCUUCGGGGGAAAGAUUUAUCGCCGAUAGAUCGGCCCGCGUCUGAUUAGCUAGUUGGUGAGGUAAUGGCUCACCAAGGCGACGAUCAGUAGCUGGUCUGAGAGGAUGAUCAGCCACAUUGGGACUGAGACACGGCCCAAACUCCUACGGGAGGCAGCAGUGGGGAAUAUUGGACAAUGGGCGCAAGCCUGAUCCAGCCAUGCCGCGUGAGUGAUGAAGGCCUUAGGGUUGUAAAGCUCUUUUGUCCGGGAAGAUAAUGACUGUACCGGAAGAAUAAGCCCCGGCUAACUUCGUGCCAGCAGCCGCGGUAAUACGAAGGGGGCUAGCGUUGCUCGGAAUCACUGGGCGUAAAGGGCGCGUAGGCGGACUCUUAAGUCGGGGGUGAAAGCCCAGGGCUCAACCCUGGAAUUGCCUUCGAUACUGAGAGUCUUGAGUUCGGAAGAGGUUGGUGGAACUGCGAGUGUAGAGGUGAAAUUCGUAGAUAUUCGCAAGAACACCAGUGGCGAAGGCGGCCAACUGGUCCGAUACUGACGCUGAGGCGCGAAAGCGUGGGGAGCAAACAGGAUUAGAUACCCUGG
rnacentral:rRNA from 1 species